rnacentral:rRNA from 1 species
CAGCCGCCACGGGAAUACGUAGGUGGCAAGCGUUGUCCGGAAUUAUUGGGCGUAAAGGGCUCGCAGGCGGUUUCUUAAGUCUGAUGUGAAAGCCCCCGGCUCAACCGGGGAGGGUCAUUGGAAACUGGGAAACUUGAGUGCAGAAGAGGAGAGUGGAAUUCCACGUGUAGCGGUGAAAUGCGUAGAGAUGUGGAGGAACACCAGUGGCGAAGGCGACUCUCUGGUCUGUAACUGACGCUAAGGAGCGAAAGCGUGGGGAGCGAACAGGAUUAGAUACCCCCGUAGUCCCUGUCUCUUAUAA